UGGGAAGUAUUGCGCAAUGGGCGAAAGCCUGACGCAGCGACGCCGCGUGAGGGAUGAAGGUCCUCGGAUCGUAAACCUCUGUCAGAAGGGAAGAAGUUGACCAGUGCUAAUCAGCUGGUCAUUGACGGUACCUUCAAAGGAAGCACGGCUAACUCCGUGCCAGCAGCCGCGGUAAUACGGAGGGUGCGAGCGUUAAUCGGAAUUACUGGGCGUAAAGCGCGCGUAGGCGGUAUGUCAAGUCAAGGGUGAAAUCCCCGGGCUCAACCCGGCAAGACUGCCUUUUGAAAACUGUCAAACUGGAGUGUGUGAGAGGGUGGCGGAAUUCCAGGUGUAGGAGUGAAAUCCGUAGAUAUCUGGAGGAACACCAGUGGCGAAGGCGGCCACCUGGCACAUAACUGACGCUGAGGUGCGAAAGCGUGGGGUAGCAAACAGGAUUAGAUACCC
rnacentral:rRNA from 1 species